CUCGCGGAAGGUCACCUCGCGCACGGGUUGGACCUGGGGCAGGUUGGAGGAGUAGGAGUAUGUCAUUGGGCGCGAAGACGGGGUCUGGGGCAGGAAAGAAGGGAGGCUGGAGAAAUCUGGACCGGAGACGUAGAGGCCCCACAGCAGAGCUGAGCCCACCCGACUCCGGGGAAGACCUAGUGGGGGCUAAGGCCGCCCUGGAAGUCCAAGUCCGAGUUGCAUUUCUUGAAGAGGCUGAGCCAGGCAAAGCUUAACAUUGGCCCUGGAGACGGGUUUCCCAUGAGCUGUUCUUUUUCAAGAGCUCCACAGCGCGGAGCCAUCUCCAGAAAACAAUCCUCGGCGUGUAUUUCCUUUUAUCGUCAACCCGGAGCCCCACGGCAGCUAAUGCAAGAGGCCAAAAAUGUUUUGGAGGAAGAAAAACAAAGGCAGGAAGUGGCGGCGGACUGACGGUCUAGGCAGCCCUCGCAGGGCCGGCCCCGUCGCUCCCCGCGCAACAUUUUGGAGAUGGCCACCCGGAGAGGAGAAGGCUGGCGCCCGCGCCAACCUCGUCAGGCGGAAAUGGCUAACGAGGAGAUUUGCGCAGCAGAGCAGACCAAGCCUUUCCAAGGCUCGUUUGAUUUGGCCCUAAUGUCGGAGGGGGUAGUUGGGGGUUCUGCAGCGCCUCCGGAUCCUCCUGGGGCGGGCUGAGUGCGCCCUGGCGGUGAUGGGGUUAUUCUUGCGCCCGCGCUCCACGCGCCUUCCUAGGCGGGAUGUUGGAAUAAAGUGUGUCCAGGUGCCUCUGCCCAGCA